rnacentral:rRNA from 1 species
CCUACGGGUGGCAGCAGUGAGGAAUAUUGGUCAAUGGUCUGACGCCUGAACCAGCCAAGCCGCGUGAGGGAAGAAGGUACAGCGUAUCGUAAACCUCUUUUGUCAGGGAACAAAGACUGGGACUAGUCCCCGGAUGAGGGUACCUGAAGAAAAAGCAUCGGCUAACUCCGUGCCAGCAGCCGCGGUAAUACGGAGGAUGCGAGCGUUAUCCGGAUUUAUUGGGUUUAAAGGGUGCGCAGGCGGUCUGUUAAGUCAGCGGUAAAAGCCCGGGGCUCAACCCCGGCGAGCCGUUGAAACUGGCAGUCUGGAGUUGGAGAGAAGUACGCGGAAUGCGCGGUGUAGCGGUGAAAUGCUUAGAUAGCGCGCAGAACCCCGAUUGCGAAGGCAGCAUGCCGGCUCCACACUGACGCUGAGGCACGAAAGCGUGGGUAUCGAACAGGAUUAGAUACCCGAGUAGUC